CUAAAGGUGAUAAUAUCAGUAGCAGUAAGUCAAGCAGGUAAGGAUCCCAAGCCAAUUUAAGCACCACAACACCGCAUAACGGCCACCUGCCUGGCGCGGACAAAGUGCACGGCUAGAUCCACUUUAACUUUCAUUACUGGCUGUUAUUAAACCUUUAAACUAAUGUUACACCGAACUCCCGGUGUUCACAAGAUCAUUAUCAUUUUAGUAUU
rnacentral:lncRNA from 1 species